rnacentral:misc_RNA from 1 species
CUGUAGCUGCUGCUAACUUUACUCGAGGGGAGCUCGCUACUGCUUUGAGAAAGAACCCUUACUUUGUGAACAUUCUUUUGGCCGGUUAUGACAAAGAGACUGGCCCUUCUCUCUACUACAUUGACUAUAUUGCUACCCUUCACAAGGUUGAAAAGGGAGCUUUUGGGUAUGGAUCUUAUUUUUCUCUCUCCAUGAUGGACAGACA